UGAAGAGUUUGAUCCUGGCUCAGGAUGAACGCUAGCGGCAGGCCUAACACAUGCAAGUCGAACGGUAACAGAGAAAAGCUUGCUUUUUUGCUGACGAGUGGCGCACGGGUGCGUAACGCGUAUACAAUCUACCUUUUACAGGGGGAUAGCCUUUAGAAAUGAAGAAUAAUACCCCAUAGUAAGUAUUUUUCGCAUGGAAAAUACUUUAAAGAUUUAUCGGUAAAAGAUGAGUAUGCGUUCUAUUAGCUAGAUGGUAAGGUAACGGCUUACCAUGGCAACGAUAGAUAGGGGCCCUGAGAGGGGGAUCCCCCACACUGGUACUGAGACACGGACCAGACUCCUACGGGAGGCAGCAGUGAGGAAUAUUGGACAAUGGAGGCAACUCUGAUCCAGCCAUGCCGCGUGCAGGAAGACUGCCCUAUGGGUUGUAAACUGCUUUUGUACAGGAAGAAACCUUUCCACGUGUGGAGAGCUGACGGUACUGUAAGAAUAAGGAUCGGCUAACUCCGUGCCAGCAGCCGCGGUAAUACGGAGGGUCCGAGCGUUAUCCGGAAUCAUUGGGUUUAAAGGGUCCGCAGGCGGUCAAUUAAGUCAGAGGUGAAAUCCCAUAGCUUAACUAUGGAACUGCCUUUGAUACUGGUUGACUUGAGUUAUACGGAAGUAGAUAGAAUAAGUAGUGUAGCGGUGAAAUGCAUAGAUAUUACUUAGAAUACCGAUUGCGAAGGCAGUCUACUACGUAUAUACUGACGCUCAUGGACGAAAGCGUGGGGAGCGAACAGGAUUAGAUACCCUGGUAGUCCACGCCGUAAACGAUGAGAGCUAGUUGUCUGGCAGCAUGCUGUUAGGUGACGCAGCUAACGCAUUAAGCUCUCCGCCUGGGGAGUACGGCCGCAAGGUUAAA
rnacentral:rRNA from 1 species